rnacentral:lncRNA from 1 species
UUGUGUUUUGAAGUGUGAAAUGCAAAGUAAUUGUGAUAGUUAAAUGCAAGAUAAAGUUCACUUUUAAACUGAACUAAAUAAGGUAUCUGAGAGACAACAAUGGUUAAAUGCAAUACAAUGUACAGGUUUUACUAGCGAAAUGAAAAUUUUCUUGUCCUGUCUGCUGUAAUCAUUUUAUAUCUGGAAAACCAGCCGACUUAAUCGAUAAUAACAAUCUCCAGAUUGGGUUCCUUCAAUAAAUAUGGGCUAUAAACACAAUGAAAUAAGUUCCCCAAAAUCUAAAAUGGAGUG